rnacentral:rRNA from 1 species
AGAGUUUGAUCCUGGCUCAGGAUGAACGCUAGCUACAGGCUUAACACAUGCAAGUCGAGGGGCAGCAUGUCGGUUGCUUGCAACCGAUGAUGGCGACCGGCGCACGGGUGAGUAACGCGUAUCCAACCUACCCUUGUCCAUCGGAUAACCCGUCGAAAGGCGGCCUAACACGAUAUGCGGUUCUCAGCAGGCAUCUAACGAGAACGAAAUGUGAAGGAGAAGGAUGGGGAUGCGUCUGAUUAGCUUGUUGGCGGGGUAACGGCCCACCAAGGCGACGAUCAGUAGGGGUUCUGAGAGGAAGGUCCCCCACAUUGGAACUGAGACACGGUCCAAACUCCUACGGGAGGCAGCAGUGAGGAAUAUUGGUCAAUGGACGGGAGUCUGAACCAGCCAAGUAGCGUGCAGGAUGACGGCCCUAUGGGUUGUAAACUGCUUUUAUAGGGGGAUAAAGUGUGCCACGUGUGGCAUAUUGCAGGUACCCUAUGAAUAAGGACCGGCUAAUUCCGUGCCAGCAGCCGCGGUAAUACGGAAGGUCCGGGCGUUAUCCGGAUUUAUUGGGUUUAAAGGGAGCGUAGGCCGUCUUAUAAGCGUGUUGUGAAAUGUCGGGGCUCAACCUGGGCAUUGCAGCGCGAACUGUGAGACUUGAGUGCGCAGGAAGUAGGCGGAAUUCGUCGUGUAGCGGUGAAAUGCUUAGAUAUGACGAAGAACUCCGAUUGCGAAGGCAGCCUGCUGUAGCGCAACUGACGCUGAAGCUCGAAAGCGUGGGUAUCGAACAGGAUUAGAUACCCUGGUAGUCCACGCGGUAAACGAUGGAUGCUCGCUGUUUGCGUCUGACGUAAGCGGCCAAGCGAAAGCGUU